rfam:Triticum aestivum genome assembly, contig: Triticum_aestivum_CS42_TGACv1_scaffold_602693_7DL
UGUUCGCUGCGAUGAAUCACAAGGAAGGUAUGUGUGUAAGUUGGCUCUUGAAAAAGGCCUCCUUACUUGAUUAUAAAUCCUAAACUGGUCAUAAAGUCUUGAGCAAAUG